rnacentral:rRNA from 1 species
ACGGGUGAGUAAUGCCUAGGAAUCUGCCUGGUAGUGGGGGAUAACGUUCGGAAACGGACGCUAAUACCGCAUACGUCCUACGGGAGAAAGCAGGGGACCUUCGGGCCUUGCGCUAUCAGAUGAGCCUAGGUCGGAUUAGCUAGUUGGUGGGGUAAUGGCUCACCAAGGCGACGAUCCGUAACUGGUCUGAGAGGAUGAUCAGUCACACUGGAACUGAGACACGGUCCAGACUCCUACGGGAGGCAGCAGUGGGGAAUAUUGGACAAUGGGCGAAAGCCUGAUCCAGCCAUGCCGCGUGUGUGAAGAAGGUCUUCGGAUUGUAAAGCACUUUAAGUUGGGAGGAAGGGCAGUUACCUAAUACGUGAUUGUUUUGACGUUACCGACAGAAUAAGCACCGGCUAACUCUGUGCCAGCAGCCGCGGUAAUACAGAGGGUGCAAGCGUUAAUCGGAAUUACUGGGCGUAAAGCGCGCGUAGGUGGUUUGUUAAGUUGGAUGUGAAAUCCCCGGGCUCAACCUGGGAACUGCAUUCAAAACUGACUGACUAGAGUAUGGUAGAGGGUGGUGGAAUUUCCUGUGUAGCGGUGA